rnacentral:rRNA from 1 species
AUGAGAGGCUGGGCCACCGCCGGCAGAGGAACAAGAGCCCCGCCAACCGCCACACCGCAAGCGAGACGAGGAGGGGGGAGAUGGGGAACUGCGGCACGCGGGAGGAGAAUGCCGUCGUCGCCGCGCACGCGCAAGCAAGUCCACUUGUUACAACAGUCCGACAAGAAUGCUCUUGCAGAUAGGAAGCACACCCGCACCUCAUCAGAUGUGAGUGACCCUCCAACACCUAGGAAAAUCGAAGAUGCCAAGAACAUUUCCAUAUACAACAAUGUGAUUGCAUUCACGUUGUUUGAGCUUGAAACAAUCACAAAGAGCUUUCGGGCCGAUUAUGUUCUUGGAGAAGGAGGCUUUGGGACUGUUUACAAGGGUUACAUAGAUGAGAAUGUCAGGGUUGGCCUGAAAUCACUGCCUGUUGCCGUCAAGGUGCUCAACAAAGAUGGACAUCAAGGGCACAGAGAAUGGCUCACUGAGGUUAAUUUCUUGGGGCAGCUAAAACAUCCAAACCUAGUAAAGUUGAUUGGAUAUUGCUGUGAAGAUGACCACAGGCUGCUUGUCUAUGAGUUCAUGUUUCGAGGAAGUCUGGAAAACCACUUGUUUCGAAAGACAGCUACUCCGUUACCCUGGGCAACUAGGAUGUCUAUUGCACUGGGAGCUGCCAAAGGGUUGGCUUGUCUCCACAAUGCUGAAAGGCCUGUUAUCUACAGGGAUUUCAAGACCUCAAAUAUUCUGCUGGACUCUGAUUAUACUGCUAAACUGUCAGACUUUGGCCUGGCAAAAGCUGGCCCAGAAGGUGAUGAGACCCAUGUAUCAACACGGGUGAUGGGAACAUAUGGUUAUGCCGCCCCUGAAUAUGUGAUGACUGGUCACUUGACAGCUAGAAGUGAUGUCUACAGCUUUGGUGUGGUCCUUCUGGAGCUCCUGACAGGGCGGAAGUCCAUCGACAAAUCCAGGGCAAGCAGGGAGCACAGCCUAGUUGACUGGGUUCGCCCCAAGCUGAGCGACAAGAGGCGGCUUCACCAAAUCAUCGACCCAAAACUGGAGGGACAGUAUUCAGUGAGAGCAGCUCACAAGGCCUGCAGCCUUGCAUACUACUGUCUGAGCCAGAACCCCAAGGCCAGGCCCCUGAUGAGCGAUGUCGUAGAGACGCUCGAGCCAUUGCAGAGUGGCGGUGGGAGCGAUGGAGCCGUUGUUCAAGCCGGCGGCCUCCCUGACUAUAGAGUUCGCCGCGGCCUGACCGGAAACAGCGUCCACUGCAGGGCCAUUCCCAACCCCAAGUGCUCCCCUGCCGUGCCAGCAUGCAGGGUGAGGUGA